CCGGGGCACAUGAGCAAAACCGUGAGACCUCGCCUCUCACUGAGAUUCAGAGAGACGGAGAGAGAAAAAAAAAUUAAGAUUCAGAAAGGGAAGUUGUGGACAGUGGACUAGUCGAUCAAAAGCCCUUACUUCCUUUUCCUUUGCAACAAGUUGUACUAGUAUUUACGAGUACAGGAAAUCAAAAGCCUAUUGCUCAGAUAUGUACUAGCAUUGCACAUGUUGACGAACCCUAAUUAAUGUGCAGUUGUCGAUGGUCUGUCCUAGCAAAACUAGAGAUUACGUGAAGUAAUAGGAGUACUUGCAAAAGAAUAUGUACCAUGAAUACGUAAUAUACGUAGGAAGAAGGAGAGAGAGAGAUAUCUGUACUCAACCACACUUAAUAAACUUCUGGUUUGUCAGUAACUUGAACAUUUACUGCUGGUUAACCCUGAACCUGAUUACAGCUUCAGUCUUCAGAAGUUCAGAACAAGAUAAAAAUGUAAGGUAUCGUAGCUGAUGAAAAAGUAAAGACUAGAGAGAUGUUAAUUGCUAAAUAAGCUGGUCUUCGCGUUUAGCGGAGAAGCGGCUCAAGUUGCAGCAAAGACGUCAGGGUCGACGGGACCAUCAAAACCCUGUAACUUGUCUCGAUCAAAUCCGGGAUUGGAACGGCGAGCGAAUCGUAUGCCAGCUUGUAGCGUUACGCCACUGUUGCAUGCAAUAAUUGUUGCACCGAUUACGGUUGGGGCUUACGAUCGCUUUUCGAUUUGUCUGUCUGCACUGCACGGGCCUGGGAAGAUUUAAUUCCAGGGUCCUUCAGAGAAAAUGUUCAGGAAGGAGCCAAAUUCUCUCUUGUUCAUGUUCUUUCUUUCUCUGCCUCUCUUGUGGAUGGACAAACCUGAAGCGGAAUUUUUUCUCCAGGGAUUUGGUGAGCUACAUGGAUAACAACGUGGUGAGCUCAUCAUCAUCAGUACAAGGCUCCAUUUUGAGGUGACAGAUUGACAAUGUGGGCUUGGUGUAGAACAUACUAAGCAAAUGACAAAUGACGGUAUCGAAAUCAAAGAAUAGCGUAUGAAUUUUGUGAAGCACAUCGCAAUGCAAAAAUAAUAAUAAAAGAAGAGCUUUGGUCAAUAUCAAUCAUUCCAUAUGUACCUGCUCACUGAGUGCUCACUGAUUUGAUGGCGGCAUAUGAUUCUUGCAGUUGCAAUAGAGCUACUAGUAGAAACUGCCUCAAGCUGAAUUCUCAGACAUUAAUUGUGAUAUUGCAGCUGCAUGAUGAGUGUGUCUCCCUCUAUCUCUCACCAUGUCAUAGUAAGCAUCCUGCUUCAGGAAGCUGCAAAUUCAGAAGAGCCAAGGUUACUUCUCAUAACUGUCUUUUUUUAGCCUAACAGGGACCCAAUUUUUGUCUCCUUCCUUGAAUAGACAUGGUGAAAUGAAGAGAAUUUGCUUCAGUGCUCAUCUUUAUGGCUUCUGAUCAAAUUAGCAUUGUUUAAAGUCAAGACAAAAAUGGUGUUUUCCAGUUUUAGGCCCAACAUACUGAAUGUAUGAUGUGCCAAACUCAACAAUCCUCCAACUAAAUAGAAAUAUAUUCAUACCAUCUGCUAACCAUAAACAUUUCUAGCAGCUAGCUAGCUAGCUAGUAGCACUGUCGAAAGUACUAAAUAUAAUAAAGUGAUUCUUUCCAACAAAGACUAUGCUAGGUGCUAAUCACAAAUAUUUAUAAGAUUUAUUUAGCUUUAUACAGAUAAAAAUGGUAACCCAUUGACGUUCAUAAUAAAUAUAAAAGGAUAAGAAGGGCCACAACUCUACGUCUCUACACUGCAUCCUCCCUGGUCCAUCUGUCAAAAAAUAAGCACACAAUUACUGCUAAACAGAUGACAUCCUCUACGGUUUUGAUCUAUUGGAUGGUUCAAUGCAGCAAGUACACACUUGAAACUUCAAAGUUAACCUUAGCUUCCACUUAAACAACUAAGAUUGAGGCAGCUUGUACUUUGUAUAGGACAGAAUAUGAAUAUUUAUGACAUGCACAUUGGAAAAGAUUGAGCACUAGAUCGUUUCAGAAUCAGAACAUUUACUGACUUGCGAAUUCUGCGCACAUUAAGAUCUGACCUGAGAUGAACCUCUCUUGGAUACGCCUGCUUUUGCCAUUAUUACUCCAUAUGAAAUCUCAAGUAAGAUUGCUACAGGUACUCUGAUUUGGCUGGGACACACUGGAACUCCAUUAAGUUCAGUUAUAUUCUGAUUUCUGAAAGAACAGUCUUCUCCUUUGGCGCCACCAUAUCGUUGGCUGGUCAUUUCCCCGUGGUUUUAAUGGCUUUGAUGCAGAAACUUGGUGAUGCAUCGGGGCAAGAUCCAGACUCCGAGUACAAUAUCUCACACAAAUAUAUCUUACAAGAAACUCACGUAAUCCAUCAGUCAAGAAGUAUAUUAUGUCAAUAGAAUUUGCAUCGCAUUACAAACUCAUGGGGUAAUGAGAUAAUCCAUUAAUCAGGAAACGAUAAACCGAGCAUAUGUAUUGCUCCCAAGUAGAAGCAACUAGUAUGUAGAUCAGCAAUACAGUAUACUCCAGGGUGACAGAAAACAGAAUAACAUCAGGGUUCAGGAAGAAAUAAAAGAUACAGGUUACUAGAAUAUACUAGUAUAAUCACAAAAGACAGCGAGUGCACCUACGACUAGCAAGCAUGGUCUGCUCCAGAUCUGCACGGCACUGACA